rnacentral:rRNA from 1 species
AACGAACGCUGGCGGCGUGCCUAACACAUGCAAGUCGAGCGAGAAAGUCUUCGGAUGAGUAAAGCGGCGGACGGGUGAGUAAUACGUAGGUAAUCUACCUUAUUGUGUGGAAUAACUAAGGGAAACUUUAGCUAAUACCGCAUGUGGUUACAGAUCUUAUGGUCUGUGAAGAAAGGGGGGUCGUAAGAUCUCUCGCAAUA